GAUGAACGCUGGCGGCGUGCCUAAUACAUGCAAGUCGAGCGAACGGACGAGAAGCUUGCUUCUCUGAUGUUAGCGGCGGACGGGUGAGUCACACGUGGAUAACCUACCUAUAAGACUGGGAUAACUUCGGGAAACCGGAGCUAAUACCGGAUAAGUUUUUGACCCGCUUGGUUCAAAAGUGAAAGACGGUCUUUCGGUCACUUAUAGCUGGAUCCGCGCUGCAUUAGCUAGUUGGUAAGGUAACGGCUUACCAAGGCAACGAUGCAUAGCCGACCUGAGAGAGUGAUCGGCCACACUGGAACUGAGACACGGUCCAGACGCCUACGAGAGGCAGCAGUAGGGAAUCUUCCGCAAUGGGCGAAAGCCUGACGGAGCAACGCCGCGUGAGUGAUGAAGGUCCUCGGAUCGUAAAACUCUGUUAUUAGGGAAGAACAUAUGUGUAAGUAACUGUGCACAUCUUGACGGUACCUAAUCAGAAAGCCACGGCUAACUACGUG
rnacentral:rRNA from 1 species